UACGUAGGGGGCAAGCGUUGUCCGGAUUUAUUGGGCGUAAAGAGCGUGUAGGCGGCCAUACAGGUCAGCUGUGAAAACUCGAGGCUCAACCUCGAGACGUCGGUUGAAACCGUUUGGCUAGAGUCCGGAAGAGGAGAGUGGAAUUCCCGGUGUAGCGGUGAAAUGCGCAGAUAUCGGGAAGAACACCCGUGGCGAAGGCGGCUCUCUGGGACGAUACUGACGCUGAGACGCGAAAGCGUGGGGAGCGAACAGG
rnacentral:rRNA from 1 species